rnacentral:misc_RNA from 1 species
UUUCCGUAGGUGAACCUGCGGAAGGAUCAUUAAAAAUGAAGCCGGGAAACCGGUCCUUCUAACCCUUGAUUAUCUUAAUUUGUUGCUUUGGUGGGCCGCGCAAGCACCGGCUUCGGCUGGAUCGUGCCCGCCAGAGGACACAACUCUGUAUCAAAUGUCGUCUGAGUACCAUAAAAUAGUUAAAACUUUCAACAACGGAUCUCUUGGUUCUG